GUAAAGUUUAUAAAGCUUUAUUAAACAUUUCAAACAGCUGUGCAACGAACACACCAGAAAUCAAAGCUCCAGAAUAGCAGUCCAAAUGUUCCACAAGUGUGGCCUUGCGUUCCCAUUCACUGCCUCCAGUUCUGUCCUCUGCCGGCCCACCUCCCUCCCCACCUCAGGCAAGAGAAAGAUGGAUGGUUUAGACUGGAAGGAUAACCAUGCUGAUCCCCAGUGGGCAGGGCAGGAGAGUCUCGUUUGCCAACACUUGUUACUGAAGCGCAGAAAAAGAAAACAGCAAGCGACAGUCACAAAGUCUUCCUGUGUAUUCUUCACAACGUACAGUCUAUACGCGCAGGACUGAAGAAGCUCCUGGCACGACGAAGACGGCCACUGCUCCCCUCUGUCUUGUCUGAACCACCUCGGAGUCCAGUGUGCUGGUCACUCUGUAAUCCCCAUGCUAAAUAAAAACUGCAGCGGUACCUACUAUAGCUAGCUAUUGCUAAACCUCAAAAUCAGAACACGUUCCAUAAAGCUUCUUUAAAAGGAAUACACACAUUUGUACACGUACACACACGCACAGCACACCAAAAAUAUCCAAACGCCUAUCAAGGGGAUCAUAGCUGUUAUGAAACACAAAGUGCUCUCCCACUCACUCGGCUGGGGACUGCUAGGUCAACGUGAACACACCACACCUCAAUCCUGCAGAGCGCGCGGGAGGCACACUGAGGCCCGGCUGCUAAGCAUGAGCCCAGACACCCAGGUGAAAGAGCAACACGCAUCUGUUACCUCUUUCUUAAAAGUGAAGUGGCAAAAAUACUGGAGAUUUGUGGACAACAAACAGUCAAGACAUGUUUCUGUCUAGCCUGCUGACCAGGGAAAGGACAAUGAAAAAGCGAGGCUCUCGGGCGUCAGCAAUCUCUUUAAAUUUGAGAUAAGUGCAAAAAUGAGCCCUGUCCUGGACAGGUGCUCCCCAAAAAAGGAAAGGGGUAGAAGAGAACUAAAGGGAAACCAGGAGAGGGACUAGGGAGACAGUAACAUUCUGGGAAGGGAGGAGACCCUGUCAAAGACGGGUCACAGAGGUGACAAUGAGACUGGCGUUUUAUCUGCCUACGUCAUACCCAGGCGGUUGACCAGGAUGGGCAGAGACUCCUCGCAGGAAUGAGACGAGGGGGGUGGCCAUCCUGACAGCCGGGGACCGAGAUGGGGACAGAACAGACACAACCACAAGACCACCCACGACUACAAGACUCUACAAUAAAAGCACCGAUCAGUGCCAUUAUUCACAUUAUAAGGAUAAAACAUCACAGGCCAAAAAGGCGCCGUCAGGAAUGUGGCACCCGCGGGGCUGCGGGAUUUGAAACUCCAAUGCUUUAUGACCUAUGUCAAUGCCUCCCCUCCCGUCUUCUGCUUCCUUGGAAAGCUAACUGGGCAGGCUGUUAGGUGCCCACAACACCGGGGUCGUGCGCUGAUUCCGGAAGCGGGGAAUCAGAGCAGUGGUACAGGAAACAGUUUCCCCAGCAGCUGUAGCAGAUGAGGAACAGGGCUGCCAGGAAAACCAAGGCACAAAUUGUGCAAGGCUUCCGCUCCAGGAGGAAGCUGAGCAGGUAGAAGCCCAUGAACAUGGAGUGGCUGAACCACAGGGCGGGGUUGAGGGGCUUGGGGAUGAGGAGGACGGGCAGCAGCCACUGGAGGCAAUACAUGAUCUCUGCCGGGCAGGGCCUUCGCCAAGGCCGCCGGGCACCGCUGCAGGAACCGACCUAAUGGGAGCCAGCGGGCGCGGGCGGCUGCCCUCCACUUUCUUCAACCCUCACUCUCCAGGAGCUGAGCCGCUGUGCUCUCUGGCUGUCAGCCCGGGAUCACCAAGGCAGCAGGGAUCCUGAAGAGAAAAGUCAACACAACAGACAGACAAAAAACAGACAGACAGACAGACAAAAAAAAAAAAACAGGAACAGAAUGUAUACUUAUUUGGGAAAAUGGAUCAUGGUUAACAACAGCAAAUGUGAAUGCCCUUUCCUCCCUGCCCACCCAGGGAAGACUACUCCUCUCCAAGUCACCAUUUCGGGAAGCCUCCUGGGGUAUCUCCCCUGGGCUUCCCGGGGACCUGGAGAGGGCUCUUCCAGCAGGUCCGGCACAGUGGACUGGCUUUGUCUGGGCCCUGCCCAGCAGAGAUCAUGUAUCGCCUCCUGGGGCUGCGGCCCGUCCUCAAGGGGCCCAGACCUCACAAUACCGCCCUGUGGUUCCACCGGACAGGCAUGGGCUCCGUGCUGUGCCACCACGGAAUAAGGACAGGGUUCUCUAUCUAGUAGCUCUCAUAGCAGGUGCUCAGUGGAGAAUUAAAGCAGUUAGUGGUGCGCUGCCUGCUGGAGAUCGCAGGCAAUGGAUCCUUGCAAGCUCUGGGAAGCUGCAGUGGCGGCACCCCAAAUAGUUGGUUUUAACAUGGCAGCCUGGGAUGAGCUUGCCUUUUUCAAAUAGUCCGGUAUCAUUUGCCAAAACCAGCCACUUCUUCGAAAGUCAACGUAGAAAAAAAAUCACCAUAGUACUUCGUCCAAACUGACCUCGCCUGGAUCACUUACACUCUCCAUCU
rnacentral:lncRNA from 1 species